GAUCUUGCCUGGUAUGGGAGAUACUUUGAUUAUCAAGGAGGUUUUCACAGGAUGAGGCACAUCCAUUGCACACCUGGUAUGCUGACCCCCUACAAUUUCCUCAAAUGCAGGAAAGCGAUAUAGUUUGUUGCAUAACUAAAUGCUGUGGCUUCCUUUAUU
rnacentral:snRNA from 1 species